rnacentral:rRNA from 1 species
AAAUGGCUAUCGAGGAGGUAGGGCUUACGCUUGCGUUUGUCUGUUAUAUCUCGGUAGACGAGUAGUCGCGGUUGGGACUGAGGUGCCUACAACGUGCUUUUGAGUGGGCUUGGGUUUCCGUGUGCGCCGUGUGCGGAUAGCUUGCUAUGCGUGUGUGGUUGUGUGUGGAUUAAUGCGAGUCGUAACUUGUAGCCGUUCGGGACGUUGACGAAAUGGAGCGAUUUGACCCGUCUUGAAACACGGACCAAGGAGUCUAACAUAUGUGCAAGUGUUAGGGUGUAGAAACCCCAGCGCGCAAUGAAAGUAAAAGACAGCGUAAGUUGUCUUAGGUAGGAAAUGCUGUGGGCUUCGGUCUGCGGUGUGGCACUAUCGACCGAUCAUGAACCUUCGUGGUGAAAGAUUUGAGUUUGAGCACAUAUGUUGGUACCCGAAAGAUGGUGAACUAUGCCUGAGUAGGGUGAAGCCAGGGGAAACUCUGGUGGAAGCUCGUAGCGAUUCUGACGUGCAAAUCGAUCGUCGAACUUGGGUAUAGGGGCGAAAGACUAAUCGAACCAUCUAGUAGCUGGUUCCCUCCGAAAUUUCCCUCAGGAUAGCAGCAACUUAUUUACGAUAGUUUUAUGAGGUAAAGCGAAUGAUUAGAGGAUUCGGGGAAGAAACUUCCUCGACCUAUUCUC